UGACCUGUAUUACAGAAGACAUACAAA
rnacentral:rRNA from 1 species